AACGAACGCUGGCGGCAUGCCUAACACAUGCAAGUCGAACGCCCCGGUUCGCCGGGGAGUGGCGCACGGGUGAGUAACGCGUGGGAACCUGCCCGGCAGUACGGGACAACCGCGGGAAACUGCGGCUGAUACCGUAUACGGCCUGAGGGCGAAAGAAUUUCGCUGUCGGAGGGGCCCGCGUCGGAUUAGGUAGUUGGUGAGGUAACGGCUCACCAAGGCUACGACGGAUAGCUGGAUCGAGAGGUUGACCAGCCACACUGGGACUGAGACACGGCCCAGACUCCUACGGGGGGCAGCAGUUAGGAAUAUUGCACAAUGGGCGAAAGCCUGAUGCAGCGACGCCGCAUGAACGACGAAGGCCCUAGGGUCGUAAAGUUCUUUUCUGAAGGAAGAUUAUGACGGUACUUCAGGAAUAAGUCACGGCUAACUACGUGCCAGCCGCCGCCGUAACAC
rnacentral:rRNA from 1 species